CAGCCCCUCGAGUGGUGGGGAUGAUUAUUUGGCCUAAAGCGUCCGUAGCCGGCCGUGUAAGUCCCCCGUUAAAUCCAGCGUCUCAAGCGUUGGACUGCGGGAGAUACUGCUCGGCUAGAGAGUGGGAGAGGUGUGCGGUAUUCUGGGGGUAGGGGCGAAAUCCUUUGAUCCCCGGAGGACCACUAGUGGCGAAGGCUGCACACUAGAACACGUCUGACGGUCAGGGACGAAAGCUGGGGUAGCGAACCGGAUUAGAUACCCGAGUAGUCC
rnacentral:rRNA from 1 species